rnacentral:tRNA from 1 species
UAUGUAGAAGUAAAAAUUACAACUAAUUUCGACUUAGUUUGUGGAAUAAUUUUCCCGCAUUU